rnacentral:rRNA from 1 species
GUCCUCUUGAUUAUAUAUGAGGUCUAACCUGCCCGGUGAAUAUUUAUUUUAACGGCCGCGGUAUUUUGACCGUGCAAAGGUAGCAUAAUCAUUAGUCUUUUAAUAGGAGGCUGGUAUGAAGGGUUUGACGAGGUAUUAGCUGUCUCAUUUAAUUUAAAAUUAAAAUUUAACUUUUCAGUUAAAAGGCUGAAAUUAUAUUGGAAGACGAGAAGACCCUAUAGAGCUUUAUUAUUAAAUUUUUUAUUGUUCAUUGCAUAUAGUUAAUUUUAAUUAUUUUAAUAAUUUUGUUGGGGUGACAAAAAUAUAUAUUUAACUUUUUUAUUUAUUAAACAUUGAUUUAUGGUUUUUAGAUCCAGUCUUAUUGAUUGUUAGAUUAAGUUACCUUAGGGAUAACAGCGUAAUCUUCCUUCAGAGUUCAUAUUUACAGGAAGGCUUGCGACCUCGAUGUUGGAUUAAGAUAAUAGUUAGGUGUAGCCGCUUAAUUUAUAGGUCUGUUCGACCUUUAAAUUCUU